AGGUUAAAAGGGCCGAAUAGCAAAUUGCGCCGAACGGAAAAGAGCCACCAAAGGCAGUAACGGCGUUCCAUACUAACCGUGCGAACAGUUGGUACAGUACCCGUAUCCAUAGCUAAGAUGGCGCCUGCACCGGUUGUAGUUUCUCCGCUUAUCAGGUUUUCAAGAUAUGCAGCCUUAUUUAUUGGGUACAAGUAUGGAGCAAGGCACCAUGCUGCACUUCAAGAGAAGGAAGAUAAAUAUAUGAAACUAAAAGAGACUAAAAUGGCAGAAGAAGUUAAGAAGGAAGCCGCAGCUUCUGAAGGCUCUAUAUUUGAUUAGAUGAAACAAGACCCUCCUUGAAUUCUGAUAUGAUUACUUCAAUAAUUUUGAGAAGAAAAUAUAUGGAUUGUUAUGUUCUUAGAAAAUGAAACUCUUACAAUUCGAUGAAACUCCUGUAAUUUGUGAUGUCAAGUAUGUACAUACUGUCACUAUACAGUACUCCAUAUUUGCUUACAAUCAGUUAUUGCAGUGCCCUGUCAUGGUAGACACCUGGAUAUAUCAAUAGUUUUAAACUGAGAACAAAACUUGGAAGUAUCCACAGACGUUAGUAUGUACUGUUGGUCAACCUUCAACCAGCAUCAUUUAUUUACAGAACAUUUAAAUAAAAAGUAAUGUUUAUCGAAA